GGAAUCUUGCGCAAUGGGCGAAAGCCUGACGCAGCCAUGCCGCGUGAAUGAUGAAGGUCUUAGGAUUGUAAAGUUCUUUCGCCCGUGACGAUAAUGACGGUACCCGGAGAAGAAGCCCCGGCUACCUCCGUGCCAGCAGCCGCGGUAAUACGGAGGGGGCUAGCGUCGUUCGGAAUUACUGGGCGUAAAGCGCGCGUAGGCGGGCUGUUAAGUCGGGGGUGAAAUCCCGGGGCUCAACCCCGGAACUGCCUUCGAUACUGGCAGCCUGGAGUCCGAGAGAGGUGAGUGGAAUUCCGAGUGUAGAGGUGAAAUUCGUAGAUAUUCGGAGGAACACCAGUGGCGAAGGCGGCUCACUGGCUCGGUACUGACGCUGAGGUGCGAAAGCGUGGGGAGCAAAC
rnacentral:rRNA from 1 species